CUUCCUCUGUUUUAUAUGUGGGACGCCUGCCACAGCAUGGCUUGAUAAGCGAUGCAUAGGUCUGCGCCUGGGAUCAGAAGCAGUGAAUCCUGAGCUCUGGAAGUGGAGUGCGCGAACUUAACCGGUCAACAUUUUGGUGGCCCGUAUAGGGAUGCAGAGAAGACCCUUGAUGACUCUAAGGCUGGUGAGCAAACAAGUGCAGUACCCACAACAGAGCCCACUGAGCUCACUGCUUUUCUUAUCACCCUGGCCCCGGAGUUUGAGGAUAAGUCUUUCUACUGGAUCCAAGCUUCUGCCCUCUCCAUGUUUGAGACUCUCCAGGCCUUAGUCAAGAUCUAUUUUAAGGUUUCAUCCUUUUCUGGUUAAGGUCUUGUUUGUCUGUGGGUAUUCAGGUGGCACUUCGGCCUCUUUGAAUCAGGUUGUUUCUUUGAACUGUGCUAGCCUUUGUCUGAGUAGCCUAUGUCUACUCCAGAUUUAGUUAAUCUGGCAAACCAGCUCUCUAGAACUCUAUAAGGGUCACCUAAAAGAAAGACCACUAAAGUUCUUAAUCAUCAACUCCAGCAAGUGAAGGCCUCCAAAGGAAACCAAAAACUCCUAGUUUCUGUUAUUAUUGCAAAGAACCAGGACAUUGGAAAAGAAGUUGCUAUAAAUUUAAGUGCUUCAAGUGCCUGCAGCCCUCUAACUAGACUUUUCGAUGUCCUCUAAAUUCCCAGUGAUGGGGCUCUGAGGAACUAUGGGGACUCUUCCCGAUCCUCCCUCUUAAUCAGCUUUGAGAAACAUUUGUCCAGACUAGAGAUGAAUCUCCUUCUGUCCUGACACUGGAGCCAUACCCUUGGUGCCCAACCCCACUACUAUAAAGCAGCACCUGCCUCGAAGCACUAAAACAGUUCAAAUAGUGGAGAUUGCUAAUAAACCUCAAAACGUUCUUGUCUCUGAACCUAUACCCUUUUGUUCAGGCCCUUUGAGAGACAAAAACCCUUUUCUCCUUAGUCCCUCCACCCCUAUUCAUUUAUUAGGCUGAGAAUUCUUGGAAAAGUAUCAUGCCAGAAUUUUCUUCUCCUGAAAGGGGGAAGUAAUUCUAGAAUUUGACAGUAGCCAUCAAAACAGCCAAGUGAAUGAAAUGACCCUUUGUCAUCCUUUAUUUGCUCCAUCACUGCUGGUACCAGAGCUGAUUCUGGAAACACCGUUAAUUUGUCUCUAUUGAAUCAGCUACCCGCCUCCUUAUGGGCAAAAUCUCCAACUGAUAUUGGUAAAAUUCACAGCGCACCUCCCAUCAAAUUCAAACUGAUCCCUCAAGAACUCUCUGCAAAAUUAAUCAAUACCCUAUAAGUAAAGAAGCUCUUUAAGGUAUAAAGAUCAUAACAGAGGAUUACAAGGCCAAAUUGUCUCUUGUACUAAAUCCCGAUAAAACUCCUAUUUUACCUAUGAGAAAACCCAAGGGCCGAGGGUGGACAUUUGUCCAGGACCUCCAAGCAAUAAACAACAUUGUUAUCCUUCGAGACCCUGUUGUUCCCAACCCUCAUAUGCUACUAACAUCCAUUCCCACUGGAAGCAAAUUCUUUACUGUAAUUGACUUAUCCAAGUGCAUUCUUUGGUAUUCCAGUUGAUGAAGCUAGCCAAUACCUUUUUGCCUUCACUUGGGAAGUGAAGUGAGUCAAUUCACCUGGACAGUAAUGACUCAAGGUUUUACCGAGAGACCUUCUUAUUUCUCUCAAAUCCUGAAGGCUGAUGCAGAUGACAUAAAGUUCCCUGGGGGUUCUAUUUUGUUGCAAUAUGUGGAUGAUUUGCUCCUUUGCUGUCCCUCCCAAGUCUCACAGGAAGAAAGCAUCCACUUGUUAAAGCUUGUAGCCUUAAGGGGACAUAAAGUUGCGAAGGGGGAACUGCAGUUUGCCCCAAGCCAGGUUUGAUAUUUAGGGCAUCUGGUAUCAGAACAAGGGUCCAGAUAGGCUUCAUCCUAUCCUAAGUUUCCAAAAUCCAAAACGAAGCACCAACUGCUAGGUUUUCUUGGGCUAGGUGGUUACUGCCAAAAUUGGAUGCCAAAUUUCUCUCCUAUGGCCAAACCUUUGUGUGUUUUACUAAAGAACCCUGAACCAAUUUUAUGGGAAGAACAAGACGGCAGAGGCUUUAAGGCUUUAAAGGAGAGUUUGAUAAACCCACCAACCCUUGGAAAUCCCAAUCAUCAGAGUCCAUUUUUCCUUUUUUUACACGAAAAGGAAGGGAAUGCCCUUGGGAUACUUAACCCAAAACACGGGGACCACCAUUGACCCAUAGGGUAUUAUAGACAGCAACUGGACCCUGUGGCACAGGGAUAUCCCCUUGCCUUAGAGCCAUUACUGUCACUGCCCUUUCGCUUAAGGCUACCGAGAAAACUGUGGGAUUCCCUUUGACCCUUUUUGUACUUCACGCAGAAGACCUCCUGGAUUCUCACCACACAUGGCACAUUUGAGCCAGCUGCCUCACCUCCUAUGAAAUCCUUUUGUUAACUGCUCCUCACAUAACUCUUUCACACUGUAAUAAACUUAACCCCGCUACUUUUCUCCCCUC